GACGAACGCUGGCGGCGUGCCUAAUACAUGCAAGUAGAACGCACAGUUUAUACCGUAGCUUGCUACACCAUAGACUGUGAGUUGCGAACGGGUGAGUAACGCGUAGGUAACCUGCCUGGUAGCGGGGGAUAACUAUUGGAAACGAUAGCUAAUACCGCAUAAUAUUGAUUAUUGCAUGAUAAGUGAUUGAAAGUUGCUAUUGCAUCACUACCAGAUGGACCUGCGUUGUAUUAGCUAGUAGGGGAGGUAACGGCUCACCUAGGCGACGAUACAUAGCCGACCGGAGAGGGUGAUCGACCACCCUGGGACUGAGACACGGCCCAGACCCCUACGGGAGGCAGCAGUAGGGAAUCUUAGGCAAUGGACGAAAGUCUGACCGAGCAACGCCGCGUGAGUGAAGAAGGUGUUCGGAUCGUAAAGCUCUGUUGUAAGAGAAGAACGGGUGUGAGAGUGGAAAGUUCACACUGUGACGGUAUCUUACCAGAAAGGGACGGCUAACUACGUG
rnacentral:rRNA from 1 species